rnacentral:lncRNA from 1 species
CUUGGUGAUUCCCAAGGAAGGCUGCAAGAUUCGAUGUGCCAACGAGACCAAGACCUGGGAGGAAGGCAAGGUGCUCAUCUUUGAUGACUCCUUUGAGCACGAGGUAUGGCAGGAUGCCUCAUCUUUCCGGCUGAUAUUCAUCGUGGAUGUGUGGCAUCCGGAACUGACACCACAGCAGAGACGCAGCCUUCCAGCAAUUUAGCAUGAAUUCAUGCAAGCUUGGGAAACUCUGGAGAGAGGCUGCCUUUCUGGUUCCAUCUCCUUGGGUGUGAGGAUAGAAUUUCGAACACCAAGAGUCAAUUCCCUUGACUUGCAGCCCGAGUAAUUCAAAGCCUCCUCCUAGGGUCAGAAGACACUAAAGGGAAUAUUUGCCUCGCUGCAAUUCAUUUAGGAAACACCCUGCUGUGUGUCAUCUCAUGACAGCACUGGUCUUCUGCCAGUAUUUAAGGUGAACAUUUGAUAGCUUCUACCUUACCAGCCAAAGAUAUUUUUUCCACAUAGAAUAGGUCUAAUUCAAUGUAUAAUGAGAACAUAUGUAGAAACUGUGAAUGGAUUGCUUUAGUUUGUAAUUUUUCUAUGCAGUUAUAUUUUUCUAGUGUAGCUAGACUAUUUUGUCAUCAUGUACCACUACAUUUUUGUUUAUUUUAAUGACAAGCUGUAUAAAUGCUUUACUUCUAGCUAUUUAAUGGUAGCAUUACUGGGGAACUCAGACUUCCCUCUUUUAAUUCUUCUUAGUAAAAGAUACUCAUGAAAAAAGCAGUUUUAU